rnacentral:lncRNA from 1 species
UUACUCUUUAACACUCAUGCUGAAGUUCUGAUAUUUUGUUGAAAUCCAUUGUUUUACUCUUUGCAUAUUUGUUGGCUCUUUGCAUAUUAAUAUAUUAGACUACAUGCAAAUACAGUCUGUCUUGCCAUUGUCUGUUGAAGUGCAGGUUUGAUCCAGCCAGUAUAGAACUAGCUCUGUAGGGGUGAGGAGGACUGUGCUGUGUAUCAUCCUUGAUUGUGUUCCUUCAAGGAGCAUUGCACUUGCCUUCCCAGACCUUCCACCUUAGGUUCUGCUGCAAAAAGCACCAGUGCUGAAGAUGCUGCAAGCACCAAAUCAUAGCUCAUAAAAUCAGGUCCUGAGAUAGUUACCCAUAAAGAGGAAUCCUUUGAGUGUAUGCCAUUGGUGAGCCGAUGAGCAUGGACCAUAGAAGGGCUCAAUGUAGAAGAAACUACCCGUGUGUAAAAAGAAGAUUGGCUUAAAAUGGCUACUGUGAUGGGAACAGUGUCUUAGGGAGAUGCAGCUUGGACUUGAGGUAAAUUGAAUACUUUACAACUGUGGUUUAGAGUUUGCUUUAAUGACAUUGUAUGUAAAAGGUCACAUGAUUGCUGUAAUUUUGUAUUCAUUAUGGUUUCCUCAAUAAAUGUACAUUGAUGACUAUUA